rnacentral:tRNA from 1 species
CUCGCUGGCAUUGACCCGCCAACGCUUCGAGGUGGGCCAUGCCAGUGCGGUCGAACUGGCCCAGGCCCAGA